rnacentral:rRNA from 1 species
CCUACGGGAGGCAGCAGUGAGGAAUAUUGGUCAAUGGACGAGAGUCUGAACCAGCCAAGUAGCGUGAAGGAUGACUGCCCUAUGGGUUGUAAACUUCUUUUAUAUGGGAAUAAAAUGUUCCACGUGUGGGAUUUUGUAUGUACCAUAUGAAUAAGGAUCGGCUAACUCCGUGCCAGCAGCCGCGGUAAUACGGAGGAUCCGAGCGUUAUCCGGAUUUAUUGGGUGUAAUGGGAGCGUAGGCCGGCUUUUAAGUCAGCUGUGAAAGUCGGCGGCUCAACCGUGGAAUUGCAGUUGAAACUGGAGGCCUUGAGUGCACACAGGGAUGACGGAAUUCAUGGUGUAGCGGUGAAAUGCUUAGAUAUCAUGAAGAACUCCGAUCGCGAAGGCAAGUGUCCGGGGUGCAACUGACGCUGAGGCGCGAAAGUGCGGGUAUCAAACAGGAUUAGAUACCCGAGUAGUC